GGAAGGGUUGCUUAAUUGGUUAUAGCAGCAGUUUGCUAAACUGCCGACAUUUUUUGUCUUAUGGGUUCAAGUCCCAUUCUUUCCG
rnacentral:tRNA from 1 species